rnacentral:lncRNA from 1 species
UGUUGUCAAGACAUAUUGUAAUCAAAUGUCUGAACACUAAACACAAAAGAAAAAUCUUGGGAUUGGAGAGAAUCUGUGCAUUACUAGUAAGAGAAAAACAAUUCAAAUAACAGCAGAUUUCUCAUAAGAAAUCAUGGAAGCCAGGAGGAAACAGAACCCAUUAACAAUGCUCAGAGAGAAGAACUGCCGUUCACAAAUUCCAGUAAAAUAUCCUUCAGGGAUGAAGAUGAGAGACUUCCUUAGAUAAAUGAAAGCAAAGAGAGGUUUUUUUGUCAGUGGAAUCACUGAAAGAGCAGCUAACGAAGUUUUUCGAGUAGGAGAGAAGGAAAAUGCAGGAACCAGGAUGAAGGGCACCCCAGGUGGAAAACACAUGGACUCAUACCAUGUGGACACAUUGCAUUUUCCUACUGCCACAGAUCCAGC